UAAGCCUUGGUGACGAGCGGCGGACGGGUGAGUAACACGUGUGCAACCAACCCCGUACCGGGAGAUAACCCGCGGAAACGUGGACUAACAUCCCAUAAGACUCUAGAGCCGCAUGGCUCUGGAUUUAAAAUUCCGGUGGUACGGGACGGGCACGCGCGACAUUAGGUAGUUGGCGGGGUAAGGGCCCACCAAGCCGACGAUGUCUAGGGGUUCUGAGAGGAAGGUCCCCCACACUGGAACUGAGACACGGUCCAG
rnacentral:rRNA from 1 species